rnacentral:lncRNA from 1 species
UAGUAGCAGUAGCAACAGUAACAAUAGCAGUAUUAGCAGUAGUAAUAGUAAUAGUGGUAGUAUUAGUAGGAGCAGUAGUACAAAUAAUAACAGUGGCUGCUGCAAUAGUAGUGCCUGUUGUAGAAGUAUUAGCAAUAAUAGUAGUAACAAUGGUAGUAGCAAUAGUAGCAGUAGUAGAACUAGUAAAAGUAGUAGCAAUAGUUGUAACGACCCUAGAAAUUCAAAAGGAAAUACAUAUAAUAAUCUGAGUGCAGAAACGAAAUGAAAAAUUAAGGUUAACAUCCCUUACACAAUAACUUAAAAGUACUAAACAAUAUCACGGAAUAAGUUCUCUAAAAGAAAUAUGAGAAAUGAGAAAAAUAAAGGAAACUAUAAAGUAUCUAGCAUCUACUCGCUAUCUUCUUGUGGAUUGGGCUCGGGAACCAGGUCCUCCUGAUCUGAAAUGGUUAAAUAAGGAAUGAGCUACACUAGCCUUGUAAGGACAUCACACUAUAUCAGUGUCACAGAAGUAAAGGUUGGUAGAAAAAAAAAAUAACCAAUGGAGCACAAAUUUUAAAACAAUACAUUUAUUUAAAAUAAAACCAUUUACCCUUUUUCUUACCCUUGGAGAACCUAUGAAAACAACCUAUAAAGACAAUAACAUCAUACAGAUCACAAUUUUAUGCAUAAUCAGUAAUAUAAAACAUAUCAUAAAUCCGUAUUCAUUAACGAUAACUGAUUAUCACUGUUUCUCGUUUUCAUCAGCCUACUAAUAUCCAUGGGGAUCCAUAGGGGUGUCCCCGCUACACGUGAACCAUUCUCCUUAACAGUCUUAAUUUCAGGGUUGUUCCCAUACCCCGUCCGGUAUGAGUGCCAAGACAUUAAAGCUCAAUACCCCAUCCGGUAUGAGCGCCAAAUGACUAAGUCUCCAUACCCCGUCUGGUGUGAGACAACGUUCACGGUAGGGUUCCCUAUGAACCUGGUCCAUCCACCAUCUUUCAGGAUAUCUAGUGAGGCUGUCACCUUAUCUGUUUUUCCUUAGUCUCCGUUACCAAGUUAAACAUAAUCACAUAGACAAUAAACAUGCACCCGGUAAUAUAAAUUCUAAAAUCACACAGUGGUCAAGUAAGACAGUAGUACAUGCAU